CGGAGAUCUCCGGCAGCGCUGGUUCCAUAGCGCACACUGGGAGCGCAACCCACGGCGCUGGGCUCGCUGAGGCUCCUGAGAUGAGUGUGUGCAGAGACCUGGGGUAGCUGCCUCUCACCACUGCAGGGGCUCCCAGCUGCUGGAUAGUUCGCUCUCUCUCUCUCCCCUGCCUUCACUGCUGGCUCUGCUGGGGCUGAGUCAAGCGGCGCUGCCCAACUUCUCAACAGCCUUGCAGGUAGAGGAGAAUCCAUAACAAGAUAAAGCAAAAAAGAGGAGACAAGUUUUCUUUCCCAGUCCAGGAAAAAGAACCUGUUGGAUUAUAAUCUGCUAACAGUGGAGAGUGCCAACAUGAGCAGUGAGGGGGCAGAGAAUCCCAUCUCAUCCACACUGACCCAGGGCCUGAAGAGAAAGAGGGGGAGACCAAAGAAGCAGCCACAGGAGGAUGGUGGAAACACAGCUAUUAUCCCACAGGAUGCUGAGGAACCACAGCCAGUGAAGAAACCACGAGGAAGGCCAAAAGGAAGCAAGAAAAUGACUGCUCUAACUGGAGGAACGGCAGAACCUCCUGCUGGCAAGAGGCGAAGAGGGAGGCCCCGCAAGUGGCCUCAAGCAGUGGUCCAAGAGGGAGAGUCUCAGGAAGGAAAUCCUCUGGAAAGCAAUGACUUGAAUUUGAACUCGGCACCAGCCACACAAGACAUCACUGGAAAAGACGGCUCCAGGCCUGGCAAAACCACUGGUCUCAGGAGAUGUCUGAGUAACAUCCCUGCUGCAGCUCAGUAGUGUCCCACCUGUUUGUGUCUUGCUGAAGCCAGAGGAGUGGAAAGCAAACAGGACUUUUAAUGUUGUAUUUCAGAUUCUUCAUUUGUGAUAAUUGUAGCCAAGCUCUCUCCUGUUGCCUGUGGACUUGCUUACCCCAAACAUCCGAACAAGGAUUUAGGGGAAGAAAUGGCAAAUUGCCUUGUUGGAGAGAUGCCUUUUAGAGUUUGUAGUGUAUCUUCUGCGAGUAUAAUAAUUUCUCUUUUAAAUACUUGGAUCACCCUGUGCCUUGCCCUGCCACAGAGAACAGUACUUCAACAGAAGUUGACUCAGCAAUUCAGAUACAGGAAAGGAAAUCUAUUUACACAGCUAAUGGCUGAGCUUGUCUGCCAUAUCACCUCUGGCAGGCUGAUGGAGCAGUGCCAGGAGUUAAGUUUUGCUGUGUUUCCCAUAGGGACUGUAUCUGAAAGACAGCCUUUGAGUCCUUUCUUGACUAUUUCAGAACAAAAAACCUUCAUGGCAUUUCCAGCUUGCCCUGCACUGCUGUUCCAGUGGCCAUACAUUCCAUGCUUUAGAGGAAAGUUUGCACCCUGAUAUCUUGGGGAUUGAUUCUGAAAUUUUUAUCUUAAAGUGAUCAGCUCAGGGCCUUCUCCUAUAACUUCUUCUGGCCUGGUGGCUCUCCCCCCAUGUUUGAUAGCAGCUCCAAGUGCACAGUGCUUACAAGCUUAGUCACAGCCACUGGAUUUCAUCUCUUCAAAGGAGUGUCUGUAAAGAGCCAGUUAAAAAGUUGCUUCCUUGCAGAGCCUGGGGAUUCAAUUUAAGUUAGUUUAAAUUCAGUCCCUAACAUGCGUGUGUGGGGUCCUCUAGUGUCACAACUAUGCAAAUAAAAGCUGCUGAUAGUUCA
ensembl:lncRNA